rnacentral:rRNA from 1 species
UACAGAGGUCUCAAGCGUUGUUCGGAUUCAUUGGGCGUAAAGGGUGCGUAGGUGGCGCUGUAAGUCAGGUGUGAAAUUUCGGAGCUUAACUCCGAAACUGCAUUUGAUACUGCGGUGCUUGAGGACUGGAGAGGAGACUGGAAUUCACGGUGUAGCAGUGAAAUGCGCAGAUAUCAGGAGGAACACCGGUGGCGAAGGCGGGUCUCUGGGCCGAUACUGACGCUGAGGAGCGAAAGCGUGGGGAGCGAACAGG